rnacentral:rRNA from 1 species
AGAGUUUGAUCCUGGCUCAGAACGAACGCUGGCGGCAUGCCUAACACAUGCAAGUCGAACGAGAUCUUCGGAUCUAGUGGCGCACGGGUGCGUAACGCGUGGGAAUCUGCCCUUGGGUUCGGAAUAACAGUUAGAAAUGACUGCUAAUACCGGAUGAAGUCUUCGGACCAAAGAUUUAUCGCCCAGGGAUGAGCCCGCGUAGGAUUAGGUAGUUGGUGGGGUAAAGGCCUACCAAGCCGACGAUCCUUAGCUGGUCUGAGAGGAUGAUCAGCCACACUGGGACUGAGACACGGCCCAGACUCCUACGGGAGGCAGCAGUGGGGAAUAUUGGACAAUGGGCGAAAGCCUGAUCCAGCAAUGCCGCGUGAGUGAUGAAGGCCUUAGGGUUGUAAAGCUCUUUUACCCGGGAUGAUAAUGACAGUACCGGGAGAAUAAGCUCCGGCUAACUUCGUGCCAGCAGCCGCGGUAAUUC